CUCACAUCCAGCCCCUGCUCAUUGCUCUCGCCCCUCCCUUCAUAGAAACCCUAAUCAAGCUCAUUUCACUCACCUGUUUCCUGCAGUAUAUAAUCCAGUCUCACUCUCCAGUUCACUGCCAGAUUAUUAUCAGCUUGCCUGUGGUUCUCCAGCAGUUUCAUCCAUGUCUAGUUUUUGCCGCUUGAUCCCGACCUUGUUCUUGUCCCCUGGUUCAACGAUUCUCGCCUCAGCCCCUAACGGAUUAUACCUGCCAUCUGCUUUACCGGUAACGACUCACGCCUUGCUUCUUGGACUCCUGCUCUUUGUCUCACCCCUGAUCGGUAAUCUGGCCACCUGGAUCUCGACCCACUCCUGUACCACGGAUUAUCAGAACUUGCCUUUUGGACCCAAACACUUCAACCAAACUAACGGUGAUGUCACCGCACUGUGCUGGAAUGCAAACCCUUCCAAGAUCUGACGAGAAUCCGGUCCAAGCACUUCCUGGUUCAUUCACCUCUGCACAAUACACUUUGUCUUGGUCCGGUGCUUAUUCAGAACUCAAAACUCGGUUCUUAUCAA